ACCACUGUCAAUCUAUCUAUCACUGCUAAUCUAUACUGCUGUCAAUCUAUUUAUUACUGCUAAUCUAUUACUGCUGUCAAUCUAUCUACUGCUGUCAAUCUAUCUAUCACUGUCAAUCUAUCUACUACUGCUAAUCUAUCACUGCUAAUCUAUCACUGCUAAUCUAUUGCUGCUAAUCUAUCUAUCACUGUUAAUCUAUCACUGUCAAUCUAUCUACUGCUGUCAAUCUAUCUAUCACUGUCAAUUUAUCUACUGCUGUCAAUCUAUCUACCACUGUUAAUCUAUCACUGUUAAUCUAUCACUGCUAAUCUAUUGCUGCUAAUCUAUCUAUCACUGUUAAUCUAUUGCUGUCAAUCUAUCUACUGCUAUCAAUCUAUCUACUGCUAUCAAUCUAUCUAUCACUGCC
rnacentral:sRNA from 2 species